UCCCUGGUGGCUCAGAUAAUAAAGAAUCUGCCUGCAAAGCAGAAGACCCGGGUUCAGUUCCUGGGUCGGGAA
rnacentral:tRNA from 1 species